CAAUAUACAAUUGCGCCAUAUCCAGAAUAGUACAAAAUGACGAACUUUGCUGGAAUAUUCGGGGUAUACGCUCGGACUUUCUUUGGUUCAACUUUAGGAAACCCUAGCUGCACAAAUGUGGUAUAUCUUAAUGCCUCAAAAUGCGGUCAGCCGAUUCGCAUGGGAUAAUCUUUAUAACAAGAUCAUGGCAUGUUUGUACACAUUAAUGAAACUGAAGACUAAAGUCCAAAACCUAAUACACUGAGAAAGCGGAAAGAAAAUGAUACUCAAGUUCAUGAUAAGCAUAACUACUUCAAUUAAUAAUAAAACUUAUAUGUUUAUCAUUCUAGAAUGAUUUCUUUAUUAAAAUAGUUUUAUUGAAUUGUUUUAGUUUUCCAGUGGAUUUUUUUUUAAUCAGGUCUCAUUUGUUUGCAACUUUAUCUUCAUUUACUAAAUAAUAUUUUGAUCUUGAUUGUGAAUUGUUACAUAACAUCGUCAACGUACAUGUAGUUUAACUGAUGUUAUGAAUAUCAUUUUAUUUAGUCAAUAAUACAUUUCUUGUAUUGUUUAAACUAUGUGUCGAGAGUUGAGAGUGAAUAUACCCAAAAAUUCUAAAGAUGUACAUGGAUGCGUAUUGUAUACAUUAAAGUUAAAAAUUACGAUGUCUUGUGUUGGGGUAAAUUUACCACAUAAAACUGCAAAACAAUCAUGAUCUGUAUAUAGUUUAUAAGGUUUUAACUUUGUAAAAAUGACGUCUUGUGUUGGGGGGUAAAUUAAUCCCCCAACAAUGCAACACAGUUAUUUUUUAUUUAUUUCUAAGACUUCGAUUUGUAAAAACGUCGUCUUUCGUUGGAGGGAUUUUUAACCCCCCCCCCCCCCCCACACACACAAAAAAAAGAAAAAAGAAUUGCAACACAGUCAUUUUCUAUAUUUUUUUUUUGGGGGGGGGGGGGGCUUCGACUCUGUAAAGAUGGCAUCUUGUAUUGGGGGAAAAUUUACCCCCCAAUGAAUUGCAGCAGAGUAAUUUUUUGCUUUAUUUCUAUGGCUUUGACUUUGUAAAGAUGUCAUUUUGUGUUUGGAGGAAAUUUACCCCCAAAGAAUUGAAACACAGACAUUUUUUGUUUCUUAUUAGGUCUUUGACUUUGUAAAGAUGUCAUUUUGUUUUGGAGGAAAUUUACCCCCAAAUAUUGCAACACACGCAGUCAUAUUAUGUUUAAUUAUAUGGCUUUGACUCUGUAAAGAUGUCAUCUUGCGUUGGAGGAAAUUUACCCUAAAGAAUAGCAGCACAGCUUAUCUCUGUAUAUUUUUAUGGCUUCGACUCUGUAAAGAUGUCAUCUUGUGUUGGAGGAAAUUUAUCCCAAAGAAUAGCAACACAGCUUUUUCUGAAUAGUUUUGUAUAUUUUUAUGGUUUCGACUUUGUAUAGAUGUCAUCUUGAGUUGAAGGAAAUGUACCCCCGAAAAUUGCAACAACGUCAUUUUUUGUUUAUUUGUAUGGCUUUGAGAUUGUUUAGAUAUUUUCUUCUGUUGGGGGGAAAUUUACUCCCAAAGAAUUGUAACAGAGUCAUUUUUUUGGGGUAAGGCUUCGAGAGUGUAAAAAUGUUGUCUUGUGUUGGGGGAAAUUUACCCUCAAAGAAUUGUAACACAGUCAUUUUCUGUUUAUUUGUUAGGGUUCGACUUUUUUUGUUUCUUAUAAGGUCUUUGACUUUGUAAAGAUGUCAUUUUGUUUUGGAGGAAAUUUACCCCCAAAUAUUGCAACACACGCAGUCAUAUUAUGUUUAAUUAUAUGGCUUUGACUCUGUAAAGAUGUCAUCUUGCGUUGGAGGAAAUUUACCCCAAAGAAUAGCAACACAGCUUUUUCUGUAUAGUUUUGUAUAUUUUUAUGGCUUUGACUUUGUAUAGAUGUCAUCUUGUGUUGGAGGAAAUUAACCCCCAAAGAAUUGUAACACAGUCAUUUUCUGUUUAUUUGUUAGGGUUCGACUUUCUAAAAAUGUCAUUUAGUAUGUUGGUUAAUAUACCCCCAAAUACUUGCAACAGUUAUACCUGUAUAGAUUUUAAGACUGCAAGUUUGUAAAGACGAUGUUUAACUUGGGGAUAAAUUUACCCGAACAGAGUAGCAGAUAUUCCAUUGUCGAAUUUUACUAAGACUUACAUGUACAAAAACUGCAUUGUAUUUGGGUGUAAAUUUACUCUGUAGAAAAAUAACAAUUUUAUUGCAUCUAGCAUUUAAAAAAUAUACUGUAUAUUUUUAGGAUAUGCCACACAGCUUUAUUUUCUCCAAUAAUUGCUACAGAAAUUGUCUUUUACUUGUAUAUUCUACUAACACCCUGUUUAAAUUUUAAAUCCAAAGUAGAGCGAUGCUUGGUUAGUUUUUGGGGGUAAAUUUCUCUAAAGAGUUUCUUGUUACGUGUGUCCUCUAAGUGUUAUGCGGAAAAUAAAGCUUAAAUUGUCUUGA